rnacentral:rRNA from 1 species
GAUGAACGCUAGCUACAGGCUUAACACAUGCAAGUCGAGGGGCAGCAUGAACUUAGCUUGCUAAGUUUGAUGGCGACCGGCGCACGGGUGAGUAACACGUAUCCAACCUGCCGAUGACUCGGGGAUAGCCUUUCGAAAGAAAGAUUAAUACCCGAUGGCAUAGUUCUUCCGCAUGGUAGAACUAUUAAAGAAUUUCGGUCAUCGAUGGGGAUGCGUUCCAUUAGGUUGUUGGCGGGGUAACGGCCCACCAAGCCUUCGAUGGAUAGGGGUUCUGAGAGGAAGGUACCCCACAUUGGAACUGAGACACGGUCCAAACUCCUACGGGAGGCAGCAGUGAGGAAUAUUGGUCAAUGGACGAGAGUCUGAACCAGCCAAGUAGCGUGAAGGAUGACUGCCCUAUGGGUUGUAAACUUCUUUUAUACGGGAAUAAAGUGAGGCACGUGUGCCUUUUUGUAUGUACCGUAUGAAUAAGGAUCGGCUAACUCCGUG